GGGAGGGGGAGGUUCGCCGGGAUUUCGGGGAGGGGAUUUUCAGGAGGGACGUGCGGGUGGGUGUCCUGUGGGUGAUGCUUCGGUCGGAGAGUUGUUGGGGGGAGGAGAGGAGGGGGACAGAGAGACUGACGGAGUGGAGAGAGAUGGGAGCUACGGGUUUGGACUGAGUGAGACAGAGAGGUUUAGGUAGGUUAGGGCCUAUGAGAUUUUCUCCGAUUUUAGAGAGACGGACAGGGAGAUAGAGAUAGAGAGAAAGAGCGAGGAGAAAGUAUGGCUGUGUGCAUUUUUUGGGUUUUCAGUUUUUUCUUCUGAUUCAACAGGUGAACCAUAUGAACGGUUUUUAGAAAUUGAUAGCAGCAGCUGAAGCCAAGAGAAAGAUCUCAUGGCAGGAAUCAUGGACUUGAUGAAAGAAAUGGAUACCAUACAAGAAAUGCAAGAAUUGAAAUUAGAAGGGAUGAGGGCAGUUUGCAAAGGGUGGGUUCGGGGAUGGUAAAAGUUGCAUAGGUGGCAAGAUUAAUGGUGGUAGUUUCGUGGUGGCGUAGUUCUCCGUGAAAAAUGGCGACGGUGGUUACCUUGCUAUUUCUAUGCAGCGAGCACAGUAUCGAGAGAGGUGAGGGAAAUAAGGAGAGUGGUAGAGAGGGAGUGAGACAUGAGGGUGGUGGCAAGGUGGUGCCUCGAGGGAGUGGCGAGUGAGGUGGUGAUGGUUUCUUGAACGGGAGAUUGAUGGUGCACUAGAGAACUUGACUCCUCUCUCAGUCUGGUCUUUGGAGAAGAAAACCAAACAGAGCUAUGCAUUAACAAAGUUUGAAAUGAGGGUUUUUAAUCUUUGGCAUGCUAUUGUCUUUAUUUGAUCAUUCUUUGAAUAAAAUUCCAAUGGACAAGUGAAAUAAACUGAAUGAAAACUUGGAGAAGAAGUUCUGAUUUUUAAUAUCUUCAGUCGGGGAUUAUUGAGAUGCCUUUUGACAAUUGAAAUAUGAAUGCAUUAUGUUGCUUAGAACCCAAGUCAAUAUUUUUUAAACUGGAACAAAAGUCCAUUAUCUAAACUCGAUUUUUGCUAAAAUUGUUUUAUAAAUUUCAUUAUAGUUAACAAAAAAAUAAACUUAUGAAAUCUCAAUUAUGAUUGUUCAUGUGCCCCUACUGAGAAAUGUGUUAGGUAUGAUGGAUGCUAUAGAUAGAAAAAUGUUGGCUUAAGGUUGGAUUCCAGGUAAAUAUGUGCUAUCCCGGAUGAUGGAAUUGCAUAGCAUCAUAAAUUUCUAUAUUUUCCUGAACAGAUUUACUGAAAAUGUUUUUCAAGGAUAUUCAACAAGAACUUUAAUCUUCAGAUUCUCUCAUUGUUGCAGUCUCUAAUGGUUUAGUGAAUCCUAUUAGCCUAUUGUUAGAUCAAUUAAAAGAGUCUUUUAGCCUUCUGUUAGUGUUAUGUCUUAUAUACUUUCUCAUUGUUAGAUCAGUUGUGAUUCUGUGUAAUUCAUGUUUCCGGGUGUAAAAUUGUUCAUACAAUCUCACUUUUGCAUCUAAUUGGUGAGCCAAAAAGAAAAUUUUUAACAUUUUAAAUCCUAAUUAUCUCUAUUUCAGCCAAUGCAUAUUUUUUUCCACCUGAAGGUCUUUGAUGCAUGUUUUUUUUUUUUUUUUUUAAGUAUUGAAACAUACAUUGUUCGAAAUUUGUUGAGCACUAGAAACUUUACAAGUUAAGACUUGCAAUUUUAUGAUGUAUGAUAACUGUUUUCUAUGUUUGUUGUUGAUUAAACACAUGGGAUACAACUCGGUCUUAGACACUUAAUAAAGAUUUAUUGUUUGAAAUUAAUGGGGCACAGGUUAUUCUCAUGAUAUUGGCUGCAAAUGCUGCAGUAGGAGUGAUUACAGAAACCAACACAGAAAAAGCUCUUGAGGUAAAUGCCAACAUGAAGACCCAAUAUAGAUCGCCAUCAAAAUCUCUACCACCCAUUUCAUCAGCUACUGAAAGAAUAUAGCAAAGCCACUAUUUCCAACAAAUUCUUUCAACUCCUCCACGUAGGUGGCCUUCAAAACAUGAACAUCACCAAAAUGUAAACCUGGAUGCCGGUUCUCAUUUGUAGAUUGAUGGAUAGGCCUUUGUGUCCAACUAUGUGCAGCGGCUUCUACCAUGAAACUCAGAUACUCUCUUGGUGGCUCUUGAUGUCAGCUGAAUUGAAUGUGGUGACCCCGGUCGUACCGCCUUUGUAGUGCAUCUUUUUGUGACAAGGAGGAAGACAAGGAGUUGGACCCUGGAUGUGCUCUCCUUCGUCCAUCCUGCGUCUGCAUGUCCUCAUUCACAAGAUAAGUAUACUUGAUUUUCUACUGUUUUGUUUGGUUUUAAUUCUCUCUGCCAUUCUCACUCCACACUCUCUCUCUCACUCAGUUCGGAGCUUUUCAACUUUUUCGCCCAAAUUGCUCAAAAAUUCCAGCUCUCAAACAUCUCAGAUCCCUUACUCACCCUUCUAUCAUCGACACCCCAAAGUGAGUGGCACUUUUUCUCAAUGGAAGAUGAUAGU